rnacentral:rRNA from 1 species
AUUGAACGCUGGCGGCAUGCCUAACACAUGCAAGUCGAACGGUAACGCGGAGAGCUUGCUCUCUGGCGACGAGUGGCGGACGGGUGAGUAAUACUUAGGAAUCUGCCUAUUAGUGGGGGACAACUCGAGGAAACUCGAGCUAAUACCGCAUACGCCCUACGGGGGAAAGCGGGGGAUCUUCGGACCUCGCGCUAAUGGAUGAGCCUAAGUCGGAUUAGCUUGUUGGUGAGGUAAAGGCUCACCAAGGCGACGAUCCGUAGCUGGUCUGAGAGGACGAUCAGCCACACUGGGACUGAGACACGGCCCAGACUCCUACGGGAGGCAGCAGUGGGGAAUAUUGGACAAUGGGCGCAAGCCUGAUCCAGCAAUGCCGCGUGUGUGAAGAAGGCCUGCGGGUUGUAAAGCACUUUCAGUAGGGAGGAUUAUGACGUUACCUACAGAAGAAGCACCGGCUAACUCUGUG